rnacentral:lncRNA from 1 species
CUCUUUCUCCCCCUUCUAGUGAAACUCAAUGCUCUCACCCUCCCCUCUAACUGAAGCAAAGUUCAAGUUUGGUACCAAACCAAAACCCUAGGUUCCUCUUUCGCUUCUUCCUCCUUACCCUCUUGUAGAUCGGCACGUUGUCCCCAUCCUCCGUCUUCAUAUUCUCGGCGCCAUCGUCAACUCGUCAUCUUCUCUCCAUCGUCUGGUCGGCGUCUUCUGUCAAUCAAC